ensembl:ncRNA H30A04.9 ncRNA
CUUUUCCAAUUCCUUUUUCAUUCUACCAUUCCCAAUUCAAUUCUCAUCUUUGUGGCCGAUCUCUAUUCUCUUAACGGUGGCUAACCUUCACACGUGUUUUAUGUCUAUCGCUUCGAGGAAGUCGUCGCU